GUAGCGAGUAAGGUCGGAGAUUAUGCAUUCAAGGCAUUCACGGCGGGUCUUGGACUUGCUACCAUUUACCUCACCGCCACUUCUUUCUCUGUUAAUGUUUAUCGAGGCCUUGCUUGGCCCAAUGCUCAAUCGAAACUUGAACCGCAAGACUCUAAUGAUCAGAGCCAAGCUUCAUGACUCGAUCUCAUAUUUUCAGUCAUCUAUCUGCUUGUUAUGCUUAAAACUGUGUAGAAAUAUAAUGCUUGCUUUUUGAAAAAAUCCAAACGAUGAGGCAAUAAUUAAUGCUCUGUGGGAAAGUCAUAAUGGCUUGAGUGGCUUUGAAAGUUUGCAAGUAGACCGAGUCCUCUUUAUCUAUAUAUGCCUUGCAUUUGACGUCUGAAGACUUUCUGUAAAGCCUCCUUUUGGAAUUUGGACAUCAUACGAAAAGUGAAACUCAAGAGUUGUAUUACGGAUAUAAGGAAUCUUAUUUGGGAUCAUUAGCCUGCCGUUUUGAUGAGUUUUUUAGAUUCAUUUACGUUUCAAUAAUCCGUUCCUGUCUUUUAAGACAAGUUGUUUGGGAUAAGGGCGGCCCUCAGUUGAGAAAUAUCAAAUAUGGGCUAGGAAAGAAGUUUCAAAUACUCCUGUAAGGGAUGAAUGAAUAGCUAUGAAAUGUGGUUUAACUUAUUUAUGUUCA